AAUGAACGCUGGCGGCAUGCCUAACACAUGCAAGUCGAACGAAACCUCCGGAGCUUGUGGCGCACGGGUGCGUAACGCGUGGGAACCUGCCCUUAGGUUCGGAAUACCUCCCCGAAAGGGGUGCUUGUACCGGAUAAUGUCUUCGGACCAAAGAUUUAUUGCCUUUGGAUGGGCCCGCGUUGGAUUCGCUCGUUGGUAGGCUAAAAGCCUACCAAGGCGACGAUCCAUAGCUGGUCUGAGAGGAUGAUCAGCCACACUGGGACUGAGACACGGCCCAGACUCCUACGGGAGGCAGGAGUGGGGAAUAUUGGACAAUGGGCGAAAGCCUGAUCCAGCAAUGCCGCGUGAGUGAUGAAGGCCUUAGGGUUGUAAAGCUCUUUUACCCGGGAUGAUAAUGACGGUACCGGGAGAAUAAGCUCCGGCUAACUCCGUG
rnacentral:rRNA from 1 species